CCUACGGGUGGCAGCAGUGGGGAAUAUUGCACAAUGGGGGGAACCCUGAUGCAGCGACGCCGCGUGAGUGAAGAAGUAUUUCGGUAUGUAAAGCUCUAUCAGCAGGGAAGAAAAUGACGGUACCUGACUAAGAAGCCCCGGCUAACUACGUGCCAGCAGCCGCGGUAAUACGUAGGGGGCGAGCGUUAUCCGGAUUUACUGGGUGUAAAGGGAGCGUAGACGGCCAUGCAAGUCUGAUGUGAAAACCCGGGGCUCAACCCCGGGACUGCAUUGGAAACUGUGCGGCUGGAGUGUCGGAGAGGCAAGUGGAAUUCCUAGUGUAGCGGUGAAAUGCGUAGAUAUUAGGAGGAACACCAGUGGCGAAGGCGGCUUGCUGGACGACGACUGACGUUGAGGCUCGAAAGCGUGGGGAGCAAACAGGAUUAGAUACCCUUGUAGUC
rnacentral:rRNA from 1 species